rnacentral:rRNA from 1 species
UCUUGGUCAUUUAGAGGAAGUAAAAGUCGUAACAAGGUCUCCGUUGGUGAACCAGCGGAGGGAUCAUUACCGAGUUUACAACUCCCAAACCCAAUGUGAACGUUACCAAACUGUUGCCUCGGCGGGAUCUCUGCCCCGGGUGCGUCGCAGCCCCGGACCAAGGCGCCCGCCGGAGGACCAACCAAAACUCUUUUGUAUACCCCCUCGCGGGUUUUUUAUAUCUGAGCCAUCUCGGCGCCUCUCGUAGGCGUUUCGAAAAUGAAUCAAAACUUUCAACAACGGAUCUCUUGGUUCUGGCAUCGAUGAAGAACGCAGCGAAAUGCGAUAAGUAAUGUGAAUUGCAGAAUUCAGUGAAUCAUCGAAUCUUUGAACGCACAUUGCGCCCGCCAGUAUUCUGGCGGGCAUGCCUGUCCGAGCGUCAUUUCAACCCUCGAACCCCUCCGGGGGGUCGGCGUUGGGGAUCGGCCCUUUACGGGGCCGGCCCCGAAAUACAGUGGCGGUCUCGCCGCAGCCUCUCCUGCGCAGUAGUUUGCACACUCGCAUCGGGAGCGCGGCGCGUCCAUUGCCGUAAAACACCCAACUUUCUGAAAUGUUGACCUCGGAUCAGGUAGGAAUACCCGCUGAACUUAAGCAUAUCAAUAAGCCGGAGGA